rnacentral:lncRNA from 1 species
ACGCAUUUUCAUGAAAUGGGUUAAGCCUUCUCCCAAUUUAUGGUUUUUUACACACCCAGAUAAAACUAUGUUCCAUGAAUGGCAGUCCCUUUUGGAGGUUCCAUCAAAGAGCUUAAUAGCUUCAGAGACUAAACCAAAUUUGAAGUAGCCUGAUAAGAUGGUGUUAUAUGAAACCACACUGGGUUGAGGCAUGAAGUGAAGAAGCUUGUGGGCAUCAGACAAGGCUUGGGAAUUGAUGUAGGCCUGAAGGAGGAUAUUGCAUUGAUAUACAUGGGCAAUGAGCCCAUUUUUGACAAGGGAAGCAUGGAGGACUGGUGCCUUGUACAUGUGACCAUGUGAGUAUAGCUCAAUACUUCGAAUAUAUUUAUGUUGGGGAGUUGAGUGAAGUGGCUUAGCGCAUGUUGGGUAAAACUCCAUCCUUACCGCUUAAUCAUUUAAGUUGAAUUUAAGUUAAAUUAUAUUUUAACUUAUAACUUAUUACUUAAUUUUUAUUUUAAGUAUUAAAACAGUUUGAUAAAAUUAACUUAAAAGUAAUUUUAAAUUAUCAAAUUGAUAUAUUUAUCAUCUUAAAUUUUAGGUAGAGUAAUAAAGAUCGUAGAAUAAUAAAGAAAAUCGUGAAGAUAAUUAAAACAAAUAAAAGUAAAAUAAAUAUGUGAACUUAAAAAAAUUAAUUAUUUUUAACUUUAAGUCGUACCAUUAAAUUAUUUAACCAAACAUACUUAAUUUACUUAAUCACUUAAAUUAAAUUAUUAAAUUACUUUAAGUUAUUAAAUUAGUUUACUACACAGCCUCUUAGUGUAUGUAUAAAUCAAUUUAAAGAAUAUAUUGUAAGUUGCAUUCAAUGAAGUUUUUGUAAGGGAUUCAACAUGAAUAAGCUUAGCAUCAACUUAAAAUUACAAAUCAUGUUAGUUGAAAAAUAUUAUUAAAAUAUAAAAUAAUUAUUAACUAUAAUUUAGAAAUAAAAUCAAAUUAUAAUGAAUUUGAUUGUCAAAAUAAAUCAAAAUUCAUUUUAUUUGAAAUCUAUUUGAUAAUUAAAUUCAUCAUAAUUAUCUUUCAUAUUAAUAUAAAUUAGGUGAAGUAAAUUUAUAAAUGAUGAAAAAAAAUUUCUUUUUUAUUAGUCUAAGAAAAAUAGAAAUCUAAACAUAAUUAUAGUAGAAUAUUAAUCAUAUCGAAGAGAACCCAUCGCUAAAAAAAUUUAAUAAAAUAUCAAAUACAAAAUUACGAUAAAAUCAUCUUAAUUAAAUUAAAUUUUAUAAUACAUAUUAAAUUUAAAUAAGAUUAAUUUUAUAAACAAUAAAAUUAAAGGUAAAAACACAAUCAAAACACUUACAAUGCACAAGAAGAAUACAAGGAUUCCUUUUCUUCUGCUGCCUUCAAACCCAAUUAUGUACUCAUGUACAUUCGCGGGGAUAGCUCAGUUGGGAGAGCGUCAGACUGAAGAUCUGAAGGUCGCGUGUUCGAUCCACGCUCACCGCAUUUUUACGUCUUUUACCGUCAAUAACCAAAUCUCUGCUAGGCAUUCCAUCGAACAUUUUCCUUGCACCCCCAAUUUUCCCAACUUCUGCUUACAUCCUAAUAACAUCGGUGCCUAGAAAAGCAUCCAAAUUUGAACAAACCUUAACAAUAUCUGCAUGCACUGGUUGCCCAAAUCCCAAAUCACAACAAGGAAUAACAAUAGAAUACGUGAAACCAUCAGGCCUAACAGAAGUGCAUGCAAUGCAUUUUCAUGAAUGGGUCAAAGCUUCUCCCAAUUUAUGGCUUUUAACACACCCAGAUAAAACUAUAUUCCAUGAAUGGCAGUCCCUUUGGGAGGUUCCAUCAAAGAGCUUAAUAGCUUCAGAGACUAAACCAAAUUUGAAGUAGCCUGAUAAGAUGGUGUUAUAUGAAACCACACUGGGUUGCGGCAUAAGUGAAGAAGCUUGUGGGCUCCAGACAAGGCUUGGGAUUGAUGCAGGCCUGAAGGAGGAUGUUGCAUUGAUAGACAUGGGCAAUCAGCCCUUCUUUGAGAAGGGAAGCAUGGAGGACUAGUGCCUUGUACACGUGGGUAUAGCUCAAUUUUU